rnacentral:rRNA from 1 species
UACGAAGGGGGCUAGCGUUGCUCGGAAUCACUGGGCGUAAAGCGCACGUAGGUGGGUCGUUAAGUCAGGGGUGAAAUCCUGGAGCUCAACUCCAGAACUGCCUUUGAUACUGAAGAUCUUGAGUUCGGGAGAGGUGAGUGGAACUGCGAGUGUAGAGGUGAAAUUCGUAGAUAUUCGCAAGAACACCAGUGGCGAAGGCGGCUCACUGGCC